rnacentral:rRNA from 1 species
ACUGCGGAGGAUCAUUACCG